UCUCAUAGAAACCGAUCCCCCAAAUCUGACUCACUCGCUCUCUCUCUCUCUCUCUAGGUCCUUCAGCUCCUUCAACUCGAUUCAACCUUCUUCAGCUCGAUGAUUCAUCAUUCGGUCGAUCCAAUCUCAGAAUGAUUUUGAUUUCGAAGCUCCACCGCCACCGCACCACCAUCUGCAUCGUCUACUAACCAUCUGCACAAUUUCGAUUUCAAUCCAAUCUCAGUUUCAUCGAUUCUUCUCUCUCUCUCUCUGUCUCUCUCUCUCUCUCUCUCUCUCUCUCUUCCUUCGGUCGAUUCUUCUCCUAGGGUUUACAAUCUUGAAUCUCCUCCUAGGGUUUGGAUCAACUCUCCUCUUGCCUGACUUGCCCCUUGCGAUUUAAUGCAUAGUUGUGGAGUUUAUGUGAAGCAUUUAUCGGUUAUGCUUCGCUACUUCCAGGUUGCAGAAAUCCUUAAGGAUCGGCCUUCGUGGUAUCGCAAUUGCCGUGCUGUGGAUAUUCUAAAUGUGCUGUUCUAAAAAAAAAUAAUGUGCCCCCUGCAAUACUACUUAGAUUCCUGCGGGAGCACAGGUCAGAAUGGGCAGACAAUAGUAUCGAUGCUUACUCAGCUGCAGCUGUUAAAGUUGGUCCCUGUAG